AUUGCCCAUGAAGUACUUUGCAAUGUAAUGACACUCAAUUACCUAUCAAGUAGAUGUUAUUGUGCCAGCAAUCAUCUUUGAAAUGAUAAAUCCAUAUACAUGGUAAUUGUAAGUUUGGCUAGUCAGUGAGUUCCUGUUCUGUUGACUUAUCUAUGUAGGUUCCAACGUUCCAGUUGCUGGCGUGGCAGCAGGCACAAUUGGGGGACUGGCCGGUCUCCUGCUGCUCGUGGUUGUGGUGGUCCUGGUGAGGAAGAAGCGUGGCAAGGCACGGGCUAAGGACUUCAUCGGGAUGGAAAACUACGCCUUUGAGGUGUUUGGAAAGGACAAGACCAAGAUUUAAGGAUGAUUCCAGGCCCGGGCCUGAGGAAACAUUGGGCCUACCUGGAGCCUCUAAGUAUUUCUGAAAACAUCUUAGGCCAUUUUGAUUUGAUUAUAUGGAUGACAUCUUCUGGAAACCCUAAAACUGCGUGCGAAAAA